rnacentral:rRNA from 1 species
GAUGUAACGCUCGGCGGGCGGUGCUUAACACAUGCAAGUCGAACGAAGCACUCGUACUUGGAUUUACCGUUCGGGAAUGAUUGUUUUGUGACUGAGUGGCGGACGGGUGAGUAACGCGUGGGUAACCUGCCUCAUACAGGGGGAUAACAGUUGGAAACGGCUGCUAAUACCGCAUAAGCGCACAGCUUCGCAUGAAGUGGUGUGAAAAACUCCGGUGGUAUGGGAUGGACCCGCGUUGGAUUAGCUUGUUGGUGGGGUAACGGCCCACCAAGGCGACGAUCCAUAGCCGACCUGAGAGGAUGAACGGCCACAUUGGGACUGAGAUACGGCCCAG